rnacentral:rRNA from 1 species
GAUGAACGCUGGCGGCGUGCUUAACACAUGCAAGUCGAACGGAAAGGCCCAAGCUUGCUUGUGUAAUCGAGUGGCGAACGGGUAAGUAACACGUGGGCGACCUGCCCUGCACUUCGGGAUGAGCCUGGGAAACUGGGCCUACUACCGGAUCGGACAAUGGUUUGGAUGCCAUUGUGGAAAGCUUUGUCGGUGUGGGAUGAGCUCGCGGCCUAUCAGCAUGUUGGUGGUGUAGUGGCCUAGCCCGGCGUAGACGGGUAGCCGGCACGCGAGAGUGGAGGGACACACUAGAACUGAGAGGCGGGCCACACUGCGACGGGAGGGAGCAGUGGGGAAAAUUGGACACUGGGCGAAAGCCUGAUGCAGGGAGGCCGCGUGGGGGAUGACGGCUUUCGGGGUGUAAGAUACUCUCGCGGUUGACAAAGCGUUUUUGUGACGGUACCUAGAGAAGAAGCACCGGCUAACUACGUG